rnacentral:lncRNA from 1 species
AGGAUUUCCAUCUUUGACUUCUGACUUCACAGCUUGAUGAUAAAAACCCAGAGACUCUUAACAAAUUUCCUGCACACUGCACUCUACUAAUCCUGAACCCAGUGCUGAGAUUUUUAUCUAGUCAGCUGGCUGCUCAGCAAGAACAGACUUUUUUAUCAAGAAGAUUCUCAAAAUGGAGGAGGCUGACAUAAAUGACAGGACAAAGGAGCACGCAUUGAAAUAAAAGGAAAGUUCAGAACAGAUGUCAAGAAGCAUUUUUCAUGUUGAAUGUGCGGAGUGGUCAACCAGAGACCAACCAAAAACGCUGUUUCUCAAUCAGCAAAGUUAGACUAUAUGUACCUGUAGAAG